GACGAACGCUGGCGGCGUGCUUAACACAUGCAAGUCGAACGGUAAGGCCCUUCGGGGUACACGAGUGGCGAACGGGUGAGUAACACGUGGGUGAUCUGCCCUGCACUUCGGGAUAAGCCUGGGAAACUGGGUCUAAUACCGGAUAGGACCAUGGACUUCACGGUUUGUGGUGGAAAGCUUUUGCGGUGUGGGAUGGGCCCGCGGCCUAUCAGCUUGUUGGUGGGGUAAUGGCCUACCAAGGCGACGACGGGUAGCCGGCCUGAGAGGGUGUCCGGCCACACUGGGACUGAGAUACGGCCCAGACUCCUACGGGAGGCAGCAGUGGGGAUAUUGCACAAUGGGCGCAAGCCUGAUGCAGCGACGCCGCGUGAGGAUGAC
rnacentral:rRNA from 1 species